GUAAGAAGACUUUCACCAGGUGCUGGUGCCAUGUUCUUGGACUUCUCAGUCUCCCAAACCAUAAGCCAAGAGUGAAAUACAUCACCGCUUUCCCUGCUCCCGCCGCCAUUAAAAUUGUGUUUGGCAUCUGACCACCAAGAUACAGAUAUUUCCUAGACUGUUUUGCAGCUAGGUACUUAGCAUUUCUCUUUCCUCUGGAGAAAAAUAUCUGCUUUCUUUAAAAUAAAUGUUCCAUCCAUGCAGCUAAGCAGCUAAGGACACGAACAGCCACUGAUACAGGCCAACUCAUCAGUAGAUUAUUGAGGAAUCAUUCUCUUCAGUCAGAUCACGAUUUGAGUUUGAACUAACCAGAGAGUAGCAGAAGGAACGUUUUCUCAUUUCCAUGUCCAGAAAGAUAUAUUCCUGCUACCCUCCUGAAGUCAGAGGAUGAAAUCAUAGUCAAUACAUCUUUGCAGAUAAACUAUUAGAUUUCAUACUAGGACCUUUCAUUGGCUGAACAAAGACAAAGACAGAAAUCAAGGAAGGUCAAAGAAGCAGUCAGUUUUCUGGCACCCAAAGUUGUUGGAGAAGGGUACAGAGUCGGUAAAUAAGUCAUAUGACAGACAGGCAGUAUUUUCUUAUUUUAAUAACAAGUUUAAAAAUCCCACUUCUUGUACUUACCUUCUGUCUGACGUCAUCAGUAUUUUAAAAUGCCAACUGGGAUCAAGUUCAACACUGCAUUACUGAAGAAUCCAGAUUAUCUACAUUUCAAGUGCCAAAUGAAAGAAAGAACCCAGAAAAUAAAACAAUAUGAUGAUAACAGUAAAAUUUUUUAAAAUGAAAUUUAUGGUCUAAAUCCUGAUCAUUAAUG
rnacentral:lncRNA from 1 species